UCCGAUUUGUCACCGGCAGUCUCCUAUGAGUCCCCGACAUAACUCGCUGGCAACAUAGGACAGGGGUUGCGCUCGUUGCGGCACUUAAGCCAACACCUCACGGCACGAGCUGACGACAGCCAUGCAGCACCUGUGCUAGCCCUAUAACGACACGGGCUUUCACCCGCUUUAACUAGCAUGUCAAGCCUAGGUAAGGUUCUUCGCGUUGCAUCGAAUUAAGCCACAUGCUCCGCCGCUUGUGCGGGCCCCCGUCAAUUCCUUUGAGUUUCAUUCUUGCGAACGUACUCCCCAGGCGGGAUACUUACUGCGUUAGCUGCGGCACCGGCGGUAACCCGCCGACACUUAGUAUCCAUCGUUUAAGGCGUGGACUAC
rnacentral:misc_RNA from 1 species